rnacentral:lncRNA from 1 species
GAAAAAAGCAACCCCUUUGCUAAACUUCUUGAAGGGCGGUCUGAUAACACUGCGGCUUUUCACCACGCAGUGCCGUCCGACUCUUACAUUUGCCAGGUCACCACGGAUGAUGCAGUCAUUCAUUACUAUUGUCUUGCCGUUGAGAACGAUGUUUUGGCUGCCGCAGAGAACGGACUGCCUGCUCACCUUAUUGCCGGACGCCGUCUCGAUGUACUCGGACUUGUUG